UUGAUUCCUUGACUAGGGUUCUUGUUCCUUUGAGAGAAAAUAAAUUGGCUCUUGAGUUUGAAAAACUUGAAUAUCAUAUAUUCUUGAAGAAGGAUUUGAUUCUUGUUAUAGGUUAUGAUCUUGAGAGAAACCCUUCUUUUGAUGUUGAAGAUAAAUGAGGAGUUAUGUUCUUCAAUUGAUGGGAUUUGGGUCUUCAAAUUGAAACCCUAUCUUGAGUUCUUUAGAGGAUUUUGAGAAGAGG
rnacentral:lncRNA from 1 species